GCAGCCACCAAUCUAGCGAACUGUUGUCUACAUCUUGAUGCCUUUACCUACCUUAAUUCCAUAAACUGCAUAGCUCUAACAAUUAUUUUUCCUUUAGGUACAACCCCAAGAAGCUGACCUAUGAGCAGAGGAAGGCCAGCCUCGUCGAAAGGCUCAACGCCCUCAACUCCUCGGGUGGUGCUGAUGACGACGAUGAUGAGGAUGACGAGUGAAGUGUAGUCCCAUCGUAGUAGUUCUAUCUUAUGUGGUGAUCUGAACUUGUGCUGUGGCACUUAUUUACCUGUAGUCCUGCAACAGGCAU
rnacentral:lncRNA from 1 species